rnacentral:misc_RNA from 1 species
GAUGAAGAACGUAGUGAAAUGCGAUAAGUAGUGUGAAUUGCAGAAUUCAGUGAAUCAUCGAAUCUUUGAACGCACAUUGCGCCCUUUGGUAUUCCAAAGGGCAUGCCUGUUCGAGCGUCAUUUGUACCCUCAAGCUUUGCUUGGUGUUGGGCGUCUUGUCUCUAGCUUUGCUGGAGACUCGCCUUAAAGUAAUUGGCAGCCGGCCUACUGGUUUCGGAGCGCAGCACAAGUCGCACUCUCUAUCAGCAAAGGUCUAGCAUCCAUUAAGCCUUUUUUUCAACUUUUGACCUCGGAUCAGGUAGGGAUACCCGCUGAGUUUAAGCAUAUCAAUAAGCGGAGGA